GCCACAUUAUGUUGAAACACCAGUUCCUGUACAAUUGCUGAAGUUAAGCAAUGUUGAGAUUGAUCAGCACCUAGAUGGGUGACCACCUUGGAAUACCAGGUGCUGUAAG